rnacentral:rRNA from 1 species
CCUACGGGUGGCAGCAGUGGGGAAUAUUGGGCAAUGGGCGCAAGCCUGACCCAGCAACGCCGCGUGAAGGAAGAAGGCUUUCGGGUUGUAAACUCUUUUUGACAGGGAAGAGUAGAAGACGGUACCUGUCGAAUAAGCCACGGCUAACUACGGGCCAGCAGCCGCGGAAAUACGUGGUUGGCAAGCGUUGUCCGGAUUUACUGGGUGAAAAGGGCGUGUAGGCGGGUUGACAAGUCAGAGUGGAAAUCCUGGGGCUAAACCGCAGAGCGGCUUUGAAAACGGUGAUCUUGAGUACCGGAGAGGCAGACGGAAUUCCUGGUGUAGCGGUGAAAUGCGUAGAUAUUAGGAGGAACGCCGGUGGCGAAGGCAGUCUGCUGGACAGCAACUGACGGUGAGGCGCGAAAGCGUGGGGAGCGAACAGGAUUAGAUACCCCAGUAGUC